UACGAUGUUAUCACAAUGAAAACACCGGUUCUCGUUCGAUCAAUGUAGUUAAACUGUCGUCGAGCAGGGUCACUACUUGGAUGGGGGACUGCUUGAGAACACCCGGUACUGUAAG